GCCAAUAUCUUUGCAGGAGAACCAAGGUCCAAGUGUUUAGGGUCCUAUUUGCUACCUGUCUCACUGUAUGGCUGAAACAGACCAGACUCAA